rnacentral:misc_RNA from 1 species
UUUUUUUUUUUUUUUUUUAAUGAAUUAAGUUUUCAGAGAUAAACAGUUUACCAUGGAUGCACUAAAUUGAAUGUGAGAGGACUGCCUGCUAUGGGUGCCUUUAGUGUUAAAUUAAAUUGCCCUUGCUUCUUUCUUAAGUGCUGUUCCCCCCAACCAUAUCUCGUUUAUUCGAUUACAUUUUUUUGUGGCUUUUUUUGUGUGUUUAUGAAUAUGGCUUCGUUGUCCAUGGACGAAUUGGUAGUUGUAUUUGUUACUCAUUUGACUUUAUUAAUUUGUUUUUUUUUCCUAAAGUAUUCCCUUUUGUCCAUCGUUUCCUUAGAUGGACGCUACAACACCCAAGUAUUCCAAGGCCAGGUAUGACGAAAUUGUCAAGGAAGUCUCCUCAUACCUUAAGAAGGUUGGAUACAACCCUGAGG